GUGUGGAUAGGGGAGAAAUUCCAAUCGAACCCGGAGAUAGCUGGUUCUCCUCGAAAUAGCUUUAGGGCUAGCCUCAUGGAUCAUUGGUGGGGGUAGAGCACUGAAUGUGCGCGGGGGCCACAAAGCCUACCAAACGCUAUCAAACUACGAAUACCAUACAAUGCAGACCAUGGGAGUCAGUCCGCGAGAGAUAAGUUCCGCGGGCAAAAGGGGAACACCCCAGAUCAACCGCUAAGGUCCCCAAGUUCACGUUAAGUGGAGAAGGAUGUGGAAUUGCACAGACAACCAGGAUGUUGGCUCAGAAGCAGCCACACAUUUAAAGAGUGCGUAAUAGCUCACUGGUCGAGUGAUUGUGCGCCGAAGAUGUCCGGGGCUAAACGUGACACCGAAGCGAUGGGUGCAUCUGAAAGGAUGCGCGGUAGAGGAGCAAUGUGCAGAGGCAGAAGCCGUAUCGAGAGGCACGGUGGACACUGCACAAGAGAGAAUGCCGGUAUGAGUAGCGAGAGGCAUGCGAGAAACAUGCCCGUCGAAAGCCCAAGGUUUCCUGGGGAAGGUUCAUCCGCCCAGGGUAAGUCGGGGCCUAAGCCGAGGACGGAAGUCGUAGGCGAUGGACAGCAGGUGUAGAUUCCUGCACUACCGAUGGAAUGAAGCAGUGACACAGAAGGAUAACUCGAGCAGGGUGAUGGUCAACCCUGUGCAAGCAUCAAGGUUGGGUUGUAGUGAAGUACGCAAUCCUACAAGCUGAGGUGUGAUGCGGACCGAAAUUUCAGUAGGGAAGCGAGUGAGUUCACGCUGGCGAGAAAAGCUGCUAGUACAUCCAAAGGUACCCGUACCGGAAACCGACGCAGGUGGGCGAGGAGAGAAUCCUGAGACGGACGGGAGAACUCUUGUUAAGGAACUCGGCAAAAUGACCCCGUAACUUCGGGAGAAGGGGUGCCUCGAAAGAGGCCGCAGAGAAUAGUCACAAGCGACUGUUUAGCAAAAACACAGGUAUCUGCGAAAGCGAGAGCUGACGUAUAGGUGCUGACACCUGCCCGGUGCUGGAAGGUUAAGGGAACAUGUUAGAGCAAUCGAAGCAUCGAACCGAAGCCCCAGUAAACGGCGGCCGUAACUAUAACGGUCCUAAGGUAGCGAAAUUCCUUGUCGGGUAAGUU
rnacentral:rRNA from 1 species